AUGUACAAAUCUAGUACUGGUUGCAAGAUGAGCAGUCCUUGGAGUAAGAGGGGUGACAUUGCUGCUGCCGCAAACGAACAAGACAAUCAUUUCUUCAAGGUCAUGAUUGGUGAUUUCCGUGAUCGAAUGAUAAUACCAGACAAAUUUGUGAAGAAAUUUAGGAGGCAAAUAACAAGAACCGUGAAGCUCGAAUCCCGCAAUGGAAAUACCUUUGAUGUUCAUGUUACAGAGGACUUGCACAAACUGGUCCUCCAGUCUGGAUGGGAGGAGUUUGUAAGUGCUCAUGGCAUAAGCAUGGGUGAUUUCCUGGUAUUCAACUAUGACGGGAACUCCUGGUUUAAGGUUCUAAUAUUUGAGCCGAGUGGUUGCGAGAGACUGUCUUCAAGCUUCCUCCCGAUGGAAACUGCUCCCUAUGAGGGCCAAGAGUGGGGAGAAAAACUCACUGGAACCUUGAGCAUGCGUCAUGAUCUUCCCAUGAUCAGAUCACCACAAAGUGAAAGGGGAACUAUGAUAGUACAAUGGGAUAACUCAAACCAUGGGGAAAAUAGCAUGGUUCUUGGUUCAUCAAGCGCUCCAUCGUCCGAGUCAUCAGGUUGUAUCUCAUCUUCAGAAGAUGAUCUGCAAGCGCAUCCUGCACGGAGGCUGAUCCUACUACGAGGAACUUGUCCUACUGGUUCUCAAAAGAAGAAGCUGAAAGUCAAGAUCCGAGAUAUUUACUCUGAAAUUCCCAUCGUUGGGUGCACCAUAAGGAAGAGCAGUAUUCAUGGAAAACCUUAUACGUUGGAAAUAUGCAGAGAAUAUGCUGAGGUUUACCUUCCAUUUGAGGACGAAACAAUUGAGCUUCGACGCCAUGGCAAGAUCUGGAAGGUGCGGUGUUGCAUUAGUCAGUACGGUAGUAAAAGGCUCUUGAAAGGGUGGAGACAGUUUGUGUGUGGGAACAAUUUGAGGCUGGGAGAUAUCUGCCUCUUCAAGCUACUGAAGAACAAGAAGUACACUAUGGAUGUUUAUAUCAUUCGCAAAGAAUGA
rnacentral:rRNA from 1 species